ACGAACGCUGGCGGCGUGCUUAACACAUGCCAGUCGAACGGAAAGGCCCUGCUUGCAGGGUACUCGAGUGGCGAACGGGUGAGUAACACGUGGGUGAUCUGCCCUGCACUUCGGGAUAAGCUUGGGAAACUGGGUCUAAUACCGGAUAGGAACCAUCUUUAGUGUGGUGGUUGGAAAGUUUUUUCGGUGUAGGAUGAGCUCGCGGCCUAUCAGCUUGUUGGUGGGGUAAUGGCCUACCAAGGCGGCGACGGGUAGCCGGCCUGAGAGGGUGUACGGCCACAUUGGGACUGAGAUACGGCCCAGACUCCUACGGGAGGCAGCAGUGGGGAAUAUUGCACAAUGGGCGCAAGCCUGAUGCAGCGACGCCGCGUGGGGGAUGAAGGCCUUCGGGUUGUAAACUCCUUUCGCUAGGGACGAAGCUUUGUUGUGACGGUACCUAGAUAAGAAGCACCGGCUAACUACGUG
rnacentral:rRNA from 1 species